rnacentral:rRNA from 1 species
UACGGAGGGUGCGAGCGUUGUCCGGAAUCACUGGGCGUAAAGGGCGCGUAGGCGGCUCGUGAAGUCAGUGGUGAAAGCCCAGGCUCAACUCUGGGUCGGCCACUGAUACUCGCGAGCUCGAGUUUGGUAGAGGCAGAUGGAAUUCCGGGUGUAGCGGUGGAAUGCGUAGAGAUCCGGAAGAACACCGGUGGCGAAGGCGGUCGCUGG